rnacentral:rRNA from 1 species
AUUGAACGCUGGCGGCAUGCCUUACACAUGCAAGUCGAACGGCAGCACGGGAGCAAUCCUGGUGGCGAGUGGCGAACGGGUGAGUAAUAUAUCGGAACGUGCCCGGUCGUGGGGAUAACGUAGCGAAAGCUACGCUAAUACCGCAUACGAUCUACGGAUGAAAGCGGGGGAUCGCAAGACCUCGCGCGAAUUGGAGCGGCCGAUAUCAGAUUAGGUAGUUGGUGAGGUAAAGGCUCACCAAGCCGACGAUCUGUAGCUGGUCUGAGAGGACGACCAGCCACACUGGGACUGAGACACGGCCCAGACUCCUACGGGAGGCAGCAGUGGGGAAUAUUGGACAAUGGGCGAAAGCCUGAUCCAGCAAUGCCGCGUGAGUGAUGAAGGCCUUAGGGUUGUAAAGC